rnacentral:rRNA from 1 species
UUAAAAAGCUCGUAGUUGAACUUCGGGGUCAGUAGGUCGGUCGUGCCACUGGUAUGAACUGGUUUUACUGAUUCCUCCCUCUUGAAGAACUGUAAUGCCAUUAAUUUGGUGUUGCAGGGAAUCAGGACUGUUACUUUGAAAAAAUUAGAGUGUUUAAAGCAGGCUUUAGCUUGAAUACAUUAGCAUGGAAUAAUGAAAUAGGACGUUUGAUCCUAUUUUGUUGGUUUCUAGGAUUGACGUAAUGAUUAAUAGGGAUAGUUGGGGG